ACUCAAAGGAAUUGACGGGGGCCCGCACAAGCGGUGGAGCAUGUUGUUUAAUACGUCACUAACCGUAGAACCUUACCAGGGCUUGACAUCUGCCGACCGCCGGUGAAAGCCGGUUUUCCUCGCAAGAGGACGGCAAGACAGGUGUUGCAUGGCUGUCGUCAGCUCGUGUCGUGAGAUGUUGGGUUAAGUCCCGCAACGAGCGCAACCCUCACGCGAUGUUGCCAGCGAGUGAAGUCGGGCACUCUUCGCGAACUGCCGGGGUAACUCGGAGGAAGGUGGGGAUGACGUCAAGUCAGCAUGGCCCUUACGCCCUGGGCUACAAACAUGCUACAAUGGACGGUAGACAAAGGGACCCGAGACCGCAAGGUGGAGGCAAUCCCAAAAAUCCGUUCUCAGUUCGGAUUGCAGGCUGCAACUCGCCUGCAUGAAGUCGGAAUCGCUAGUAACCGCCGAUCAGCCAAGCGGCGGUGAAUACGUUCCCGGGCCUUGUACACACCGCCCGU
rnacentral:rRNA from 1 species